GGGUCCGGAAAUAUUUAAAUUAUUUCCGGAGGAAUUUGAUGGUCGGGCCGCCAUCU
rfam:Omnitrophica WOR_2 bacterium RIFCSPLOWO2_12_FTLL_51_24 rifcsplowo2_12_scaffold_18460, whole genome shotgun sequence.